GACGAACGCUGGCGGCGUGCCUAAUACAUGCAAGUCGAGCGAAUGGAUUAAGAGCUUGCUCUUAUGAAGUUAGCGGCGGACGGGUGAGUAACACGUGGGUAACCUGCCCAUAAGACUGGGAUAACUCCGGGAAACCGGGGCUAAUACCGGAUAACAUUUUGAACCGCAUGGUUCGAGAUUGAAAGGCGGCUUCGGCUGUCACUUAUGGAUGGACCCGCGUCGCAUUAGCUAGUUGGUGAGGUAACGGCUCACCAAGGCAACGAUGCGUAGCCGACCGGAGAGGGUGAUCGGCCACACUGGGACUGAGACACGGCCCAGACUCCUACGGGAGGCAGCAGUAGGGAAUCUUCCGCAAUGGACGAAAGUCUGACGGAGCAACGCCGCGUGAGUGAGGAAGGCUUUCGGGUCGUAAAACUCUGUUGUUAGGGAAGAACAAGUGCUAGUUGAAUAAGCUGGCACCUUGACGGUACCUAACCAGAAAGCCACGGCUAACUACGUGCCAGCAGCCGCAGUAA
rnacentral:rRNA from 1 species